rnacentral:sRNA from 1 species
AAAAUGUAUAACUGUUUGAGUAUCCUGAAAGCGGGCUUUUCAGCACAGUUAUGCAGUAUUUAACUUUAGGAGUGCAUAGUGGCCCGUAUAGCAGGCAUUAACAUUCCUGAU